CACUGGGCCAUGAAAGCAAGCCUUCUGCUCUCUGUGGUCUGUAGGGAGUGGAGAACAAAGCAAUAAACCAAGUUCCUGGUUUCACUCUCACGGGUGCUGGCUGUGUAAGGACCAAAGAGAACAUGAUGGCCAUUGAUCACAGACUUUCUCUACCCCUGGCAAGUUUUAUUAUGGCCAUUUCCUUGACUACAACUACAACUCUGACAAGCUCUUCUGAGAGAGGAAAUAAUGCCACUGUCGCAAAUAUCCGUUUGGUUACUGCAAUCACAGAGACAAUGAUGCCAAACCAGACCUACACCACAGCCAUGUCAACUCCUUCAAAUGUCACUGUUGACGGUGCUCUCUCUACUACAAGUUACCAUAACUCAAGUCAGAACAGCACUGGAACAACAACUCACAAUGCUGUGCAGGACAACUCAACAACCACAACAGCACUGGCUGUGAGCUCAAACACAACUACUGAGGCAACACCAUCAGCUUUGGCGCCUACAGCUAAUGCUACAUCUGCAGCCAUUACAGUCCCAGGUAUUGUCCCCUCCACUGCACCAACCACCCAAGAGGCCAAGACCACUGAAAACCAAAGCAGUACAUCAAAUAUCCCACCACAACAAUCCACUAAGAAUCUUCCUCAAACCACAAAUGCCGCCAUGCCGAUGACAACCGCAACACAUAAUGUGACACAAGGUUUUGGACUAGACAAUUCAGAAAAAGGCAUGACGGUUUUCUUCAGUGUUGUGCUUGGGGUGUUUGUUUUGGGAAUAUUUAUUUACACGUUGAAUAGAUGGAACCAGAUGAGGCAAUACUCACAUCGACCUCUCUAUAACAACUCUGAGGCCGAAGCUCUCCUCAAUUAAUUUUCAGUGGGUGGAUCCCUAGCAGCAGAUGACACACUUGUAAUUUCAGGAGGACUCUACGAUGGUUCACAAAUCUAUAAUCCAACUAUGACAACUACUGAUAUGACGGAGGAUGAGUUCAAUUUUGAUAACCGUCUACAUGUGUCCCAGCGAUCACAGUUCCGCCUGGAGUUCUUAACUGAAGAACGAGAGAGCUCCCCAGGCUAUGAGGCCUCUACCUUUCAUACUUUUCAGCCAAUUGAUGAUGAUUUUUAAUGUCAAAUCUAGCUUCUUUUUUUUCUUUUUUUUACUCCAGUUUGUAAAUGGUGUCCAAACUAGCCAAUGGGCUUUUUUUUUAACAUCACUAUAACAAUUGCAUUGUUUAUAAUGUUGAAGUCGGAAGUUUACAUACACUUAGGUUGGAGUCAUGAAAACUUUUUCAACCACUCCA